rnacentral:rRNA from 1 species
UACACAUGCAAGUCGAACGGCAGCAUAGAGAGCUUGCUCUCUGAUGGCGAGUGGCGAACGGGUGAGUAAUACAUCGGAACGUGUCCGUUUGUGGGGGACAACCACCCGAAAGGGUGGCUAAUACCGCAUAAGACCUGAGGGUGAAAGCCGGGGACCGCAAGGCCUGGCGCGAACGGAGCGGCCGAUGACUGAUUAGCUGGUUGGCGGGGUAAAGGCCCACCAAGGCGACGAUCAGUAGCUGGUCUGAGAGGACGACCAGCCACACUGGAACUGAGGCACGGUCCAGACUCCUACGGGAGGCAGCAGUGGGGAAUUUUGGACAAUGGGGGCAACCCUGAUCCAGCCAUGCCGCGUGCGGGAAGAAGGCCUUCGGGUUGUAAACCGCUUUUGUCAGGGACGAAAAGGUGCGGGUUAAGAGCUAGCACUGAUGACGGUACCUGAAGAAUAAGCACCGGCUAACUACGUGCCAGCAGCCGCGGUAAUACGUAGGGUGCGAGCGUUAAUCGGAAUUACUGGGCGUAAAGCGUGCGCAGGCGGUUGGGUAAGACAGAUGUGAAAUCCCCGGGCUUAACCUGGGAACUGCAUUUGUGACUGUCCGACUGGAGUAUGUCAGAGGGGGGUGGAAUUCCAAGUGUAGCAGUGAAAUGCGUAGAUAUUUGGAAGAACACCGAUGGCGAAGGCAGCCCCCUGGGGCAAAACUGACGCUCAUGCACGAAAGCGUGGGGAGCAA